AGUCACUGACAUUAGAUACCCCUGUAGUCCAGGGUGUAAACGCUGCGGGCUUGGUGUUGGGGGGUCCUUUGAGGGCGCCCAGUGCCGGAGAGAAGUUGUUAAGCCUGCUGCUUGGGGAGUACGUCCGCAAGGAUGAAACUUAAAGGAAUUGGCGGGGGAGCACCGCAACGGGAGGAGAGUGCGGUUCAAUUGGAUUCAACGCCGGACAACUCACCAGGAGCGACGGUUACAUGAAGGCCAGGCUGAUGACCUUGCCUGAUUUUCCG
rnacentral:rRNA from 1 species